CAGUGUUUGGCAUGAGCUUUUGAAGAAAAAGACCUGUCAGAUUUGUUUACUUUCUCACAGAGAUUAAUGGCGAUCUGAAGUUAAAAGGGUGUGGGGCGGGGCUCCGAGCACGUGGACUUGUUUACUUCCCUGCGCGAGCUCCGGUUUCUUCUCUAAAAGCGCACUGCGCGCUCCCGCUCAGCCCCGCCCCCCCUGCCCGCGCUCACCCCGCGCGCGCGCGCAUUACACGAGAUCCGGUGCUGCUGUUUGGUUGGACUGCAGGGAUUUUUGGUGUUUUCCUGCCCAGUGUGUAUGUCCAGAAGCUCUGUACUGACACGCAUGAAUUUAUUUUUUUUUUAAUCUCAUCAAUAUCGCGUUAUAACGAGAAAAAUAUCACGUUAUUACGAGAACAUCAGUUAUUUCGCCAAGUAUCGCGUUAAUUGCUAGGAGGAAAACCAAGGUUUUUAAUAGAAGCUGGACAGCAUUUUGCGCAUUAAGUAAAAUUUCACUCAUUCUGCCAUAAUUUUGAACUGGUAAUGAGACUAUACUGUAAAAACAAGAUCAGUUAAGUUGCCUUUAUAACAUCUGUCUCGUACGCGACGUUUCGUCCGAGUAACGCGAUAUUUGGCGAAAUAACGCGAUGGUUUUUCUCGUAAUAACGUGGUAUUCUUCCUAUAUAACAACGCGAUAUUUUCAUGUAAAAACGUGAUAUCGGUUGGAUUUUCUUUGAUUUCAUGCGUGGCAGCACAAAGCCUCUGUAGGUAUGCAUAUUGAGACGAGCAAACUGCGCUUUCUGGGAGCAGCUGUGCUCCAAACACACCACAUCUGCACACAGGAGCGCGCUGACAGCUUUCAUGCACUCAAACCAUCUGGAGGAAAUGCAAUGAAUCCCCUGAAAAAAAAGAAUAAAAUAGUUUGGCUGCAAAUGUCAUGAGUGGGACCCUGUGUAAACUUUACAAAACUUGUGAUGCACUCACUUUCAAAGUAUGGCGUGUCCUGAAUUAUUACCUGCUCUGAUGGACUCGGACCCCACUGGAAACUGAUGCGUCCAUGAUCCAAGCCCAUCACCUGCUUGCAUCCAUCUCUGCUGCCUUAUUUAAGAGCUUUAAUGUCCUCCAACUCAGCAACAUCAUCGGCUAUUAGAUUAGCACACUGUGAACUGAGGCACCCAUUUCCGCAGGCCUCUGGGGAUUAUGGCUUCCUGCAGUAAUCUUUCAUAAGCGCUCAGAGAGGCCCUGAGCCAAUGCAUCACGCAGGUUAAAAUACAGCAGUACAAGAAUGGCUGGUGUCUUCUGCGAGUGGAAGAAAAUGAUUUGUGCACACAUCAAAACAUCAUCCUGACAUUUAUCUAAUCUGUAGUGCACAGCAAAAUCCCAAAUGCUGAAUUAACAGCUGCAGUGUUAGUUGAAUUUUUACAGUCCAGAUGGACUUUUAUAAACACUGUAGGUGUUAAUUCAGAAGUGUACAUCAGUUGGUAUUUCAGUGUUUGGCUGUUAUUUAAGGCUUUCACAGUGUAACAUGAAACUGCUGAUUAUAUGCAUCUGUAGCAUACUAUACAAUUUAUAUUGUAUAUAGGGCCAUAAGCAGGACCAGAAUUUUUGUGAGGUCCACAUGUACUCAUCCUUCGUUUCUCUCUUGUUUCUCCUCACUAAUUACUGGAAAAGCAUCUUUUUAAAAUACUGUGUACACUGCAGUUAACGCAGUGUACUAGCACAGUGUCUCAGCUAACUAGCAAGCUCAUUUGGCUGGCAAAGGUAUAAGUAGUUUGCAUUUGACAAAUUGACAACUGCUCUCAUAAACACAUUUACACUCACCGACCACUAUAUUAGUAACACCUGUACAUCUGUUCAUGAAAUUAUCCAAUCAGCCAAUCAUGUGGCAGCAGCGAAAUGCAUAAAAUCAUGCAGAUACAGGUCGGAUGGGUUGGGCUACAACAGCAGAAGGCCGCAUUGUGCUCCACUCCUAUCAGCCAAGAACAGGAAUCUGAGUCUACAGUGGGCACACACUCAAUAAAACUGUACAGUUGAAGAUUGAUUGGGGAAAAGAGCAGGAGACGUUUUUCCAAUCUUCGACUGUCCGGUUUUUAUUGAGCCUGUGCCCACUGUAGCCUCAGAUUGCUAUUCUUAAUUGACAGGACUGAAACCUGAUGUGGUCUUCUGCUGUUGUAGCCUAUCCCCUACAAUGUUCAGCCUGUUGUGCAUUUUGAAAUGCUUUUCUGCACACCAUGGUUGCAAAGAGUGGUUAUUUGAGUUACCAUAGCCUUCCUGUCAGCUCCGAACAGUCUGGCCAUUCUCCUCUGACCUCUCUCUCUGUUUCCGCCCACUGAACUCCUCCCUCACUAGAUGUUUUUUUUUUUUUUUGCACCAUUCUGUGUAAAGUCUAGAGAUGGCUAUGCGUCUCCCACCAGCCAUUCAACAGUCAGAGUUGCUGUGAUCACAUUUUCCCCAUUCUGAUGUUUGAUGUGAACUGAAGCUUUUGACCUGUAUCUGAAUGAUUUUAUGCACUGCACUGCUGCCACAUGAUUGGCUAAUAAUUACAUGAAUGAUCAGGUGUACAGGUGUUCCUAGUAAAGUGGCCAGUGAGUGUAUAGAAUAUGUUCUCACAUAAACUCAAACAUUUCUAUCAUAUCUAUGUCAUAUGUCCUUGAACAAAACAGUGAAAAAUGGAAGUGUAGCAUCUAUCGAGAGCUGAAUAUGUGAGUGUCCACUUUGGCUCAUCACUGCUUAUCAGGUAGUCUUGUCUCUAUUUGACAACUAGAGAUAUUAUGUGAGAGGUAUUUAAAAAAAAAACAUUCUGAAUCUACAGAGGUCCAGACCUCAGUGUCCUCAUAGCUAGUUAUGGCCAUGUGUAUAUCCACAUAACUUAUCAAAUGAGAAAUGAGUGGUUUAUUUAGUGUAGAAUAGUCUGUAAUAUGAAAUGCUAUGUAAAUUGGUUAACAGUUUUCUCAUUCUUUCAGCCUAUAAUUGUUGUUUUGUUUGUAGGCUUUUUUGGGGGGGUUCUCGCAGUGUUCCUGUGCUCUUGAUGCAUGAUUUUCCAUUUUCCAUAACCUCAUUAUUCAGUCACUUGCGGUGCAGACUUGGAAUCAUUUUCCUAUCUAAUGAUACCUGCUAUUCAAGUAAAUGUCAACAGCUGGACAAAAACUGUUAAAAUUGGUGAUGAAAAGCGAACUUUUGAUGAUAGUGGGAAUGAAGCCUGUUUCUAAAGCUGUUCUGAAAGUCAUUAUGUUCUUUUCCUGAGUCUUUUCAGAGUUUUUCACUGUUUUCACUGGUCUCUCUCCAGCCUCACUUUUCAGUAUUGUUUCCAACCAUUGAACUGACUUUGAAUUGUUCGCACAUUUGAAUGCUUAGUGUAUUUCUGUUUUUCUUGCAUACAGGCUCACUCUAGAACUCUAGUAUGCUUUGUACACUCAGGAAGCCUUGAACUUACAUCAUGUGUUUAUGCUGAGCAUUGCAGUUCCCUCAGAGAUUUUGAGACAACAGUCUUAUUCGGAAGUGUACCGAUGUGUGUUUGCACACAUGUUUGCAUAAUGCAUGUGUGUACGCUACCAUGGCUACUAAUGGAAUCCUCAGAGAUGGUGCAAUGUUCUGUCUAGAGGGAAAAAGACUCCUCCUUCCUGUGUGUGGGUGUUUGUGCGUGUACAUGUAUACAUCCACAUGACAGUGUAUCAUCUCCUUGAAGGAGUACUCCAGGAUUUUUCAGCCUAAUCUCUAUCAGUUACAUCUGUAGUGUAUGUGUGUUCACCACAGAUCAGUAAGGGCUGGUUCUGCUAUUAGAUGGGAGGACAAAACUUGAAUAUCUAUGAGUAGCUCGACAGUGAAUCUAUUAUCACUAUACCACACAGUCUCUGUAUCAAGUCUUUAAUGCUCUACUGAGUUUACGCAACCUUUCCUCCAAAUGCCAAACAUGGGUAAUAGAAAACUUGUAAAAAAAUAAAUAAAUAAAAACCUAAACUUACAGUCUC